AUUCUCCACCAGCAUCAGACCACUGCCAGCUUACCGCCCACGGAGGCCACCACCGCGUUCAAACCGUUCUAUAAGGGCUCGCAAUCCAUGGGUAGCGGAUUCGUGUCGCCGGUCUAAGGAACUCGCUAGAUCGAUUCUGGAUCACCGUCGCGUUCCUCCAGGAUCGAGAAAAAGGGCGCAAGGGCACUGUAAAUACUCCGCAGAGGGAGA